UGUGAUCAAGCUAUUAAGGGCUGUUGGUGGAUGCCUUGGCAUCGAAAGGCGAUGAAGGACGUGCUAACCUGCGAUAAGCUUCGGGGAGCCGGAAAGAGGCUGUGAUCCGGAGAUGUCCGAAUGGGGAAACCCGAUGGGAGUAGUAUCCCAUCAUCUCUAUCUGAAUUCAUAGGGUAGAGAAGCAACACCUGCCGAAGUGAGACAUCUCAGUAGGCAGAGGAAAAGAAAUCAAACGAGAUUCCCAUAGUAGCGGCGAGCGAAGUGGGAAGAGUCUAAACCGGGGGUUUCGCACUCCCGGGGUUGUAGGACCAGACCAUCUAACGAGUUUGGCUUAGCAGAAGCGAUCUGGAAAGAUCUGCCGUAGAGGGUGAAAGCCCCGUACGCGAAAAGCUAAAACUUGUGGGUUUGGCACCUGAGUAGAACCGGACACGUGAAACCCGGUUUGAAUCUGGGGGGACCACCCUCCAAGACUAAAUACUUGUCGAUGACCGAUAGCGUAACAGUACCGCGAGGGAAAGGUGAAAAGAACCCCUGUUAGGGGAGUGAAAUAGAACCUGAAACCAGCAGCCUACAAACGGUCGGAGGCCUAUGCUCCAUUUUAUGGAGAAGGGCUAACGGCGUGCCUUUUGCAUGAUGAGCCAGCGAGUUGUGGUAGACGGCAAGGUUAAGGGACGAAGCGUUCCGAAGCCGAAGCGAAAGCGAGUGUGAAUAGCGCGCUUUAGUCGUCUGGUGCAGACACGAAACCAAGUGAUCUAUCCAUGACCAGGAUGAAGCAGGGGUAACACCCUGUGGAGGUCCGAACCAGUAACUGUUGAAAAAGUUUUGGAUGAGUUGUGGAUAGGGGUGAAAGGCCAAUCAAACUUGGAGAUAUCUUGUUCUCUCCGAAAUAACUUUAGGGUUAGCCUCAAUGUAUAUGGCAUGGGGGUAGAGCACUGGAUCCAAUAGGGGGGCUACCGCCCUUCCAACGGGAACCAAACUCCGAAUACCAUGCCCUUUAUUGGGAGAUAGACUGUGGGGGAUAAGCUUCAUAGUCAAAAGGGGAACAGCCCGGAUCGUCGAUUAAGGCCCCUAAUUCUAUGCUAAGUGAGUAAGGAGGUGAAGUUUCUAAAACAGUUGGGAUGUUGGCUUAGAGGCAGCCAUCAUUUAAAGAGUGCGUAACAGCUCACCAAUCGAGAAACUUUGCGCCGAUAAUAAACGGGACUAAGCAUAGAGCCGAAAUCACGGGUGCCUAUCUUCGGAUAGGCGCGGUAGGAGAGCGUUGUAUGGGCAUUGAAGGUGUACCGUAAGGAGCACUGGAGCGCAUACAAGUGAGUAUGCAUGGCAUGAGUAAACGAUAAAGGGAGUGAAAAUCUCCCUCGCCGAAAACCUAAGGUUUCCAGGGUAAAGUUCGUCUUCCCUGGGUUAGCCGGCCCCUUAGCUAAGGCCGAAAGGCGUAGGUGAUGGGAAGCAGGUUAAAUAUUCCUGCGCCACCUAAGACUAUGGUGACGAGGUGACGAAGUACACAAAGCGCGAGGACCAUUGGAAGUGUCCUUGCCUCUAUGAGGUGGGCUGGUAGGAAAGACCGCCAGCAUAAAACCGGGUAGGGGACAAGGGGAAUCCUCGGAGGAACCGAUGGCGCUGAAAAGUACUUCCGAGAAAUAGCCUCUAACCGUUGAUGGUGACCGUACCAAAACCGACACAGGUGGGUGUGAAGAAUAUUCUCAGGCGCGCGAGAGAACUCUCGUUAAGGAACUCGGCAAAUUAUCCUCGUAACUUCGGAAGAAGAGGAGCCCUUUUUCGUUAUUACCUUCGCGGUAAGAAGCGAAAAGGGGCCGCAGAGAAAUGGCCCAGGCGACUGUUUAACAAAAACACAGCACUAUGCGAAGUCGGCUAAGACGAUGUAUAUGGUGUGAAGCCUGCCCAAUGCCAAAAGGUCAAAAGGAGGUGUCAGUCCUUCGGGACAAAGCACUGAAUUUAAGCCCUGGUGAAUGGCGGCCGUAACUAUAACGGUCCUAAGGUAGCGAAAUUCCUUGUCGGGUAAGUUCCGACCUGCACGAAUGGCCUAACGAUCUGGGCACUGUCUCAACGAGAGACUCGGUGAAAUUGUAGUAGCGGUGAAGAUGCCGUUUACCCGCAAUAAGACGGAAAGACCCCGUGAACCUUUACUGUACUCUGAUAAUGGCUCCUGCCUUUUCAUGUGUAGGAUAGCCGGAAGACUUUGAAGGGAGCUCGUCAGGGCUCCUGGAGUCAACCUUGAAAUACCGGCCUUGGAAAGGUGGGAAUCUAACGAUCCUCUGUGAAACCAGAGAUCGGACAUUGUCAGACGGGCAGUUUGACUGGGGCGGUUUCCUCCUAAAGAGUAACGGAGGAGUCCAAAGCUUACUUCAUCGCGGUUGGUAAUCGCGAGUAGAGCGUAAAGGUAUAAGGUAAGUUAACUGUAAGACCAACAAGUCGAGCAGAUACGAAAGUAGGGCUUAGUGACCCGGUGGUUGAAAGUGGAAUCGCCAUCGCUUAACGGAUAAAAGGUACUCCGGGGAUAACAGGCUUAUCGCCACCAAGAGUUCAUAUCGACGUGGCGGUUUGGCACCUCGAUGUCGACUCAUCGCAUCCUGGGGCUGUAGAAGGUCCCAAGGGUUUGGCUGUUCGCCAAUUAAAGCGGUACGCGAGUUGGGUUCAAAACGUCGUGAGACAGUUUGGUCCCUAUCUGUUGUGGGCGUAGGAUACUUGAGAAGAGCUACCUCUAGUACGAGAGGACCGAGGUGGACGAACCAAGGGUGUGCCGGUUGUACUGCCAAGUGCAUAGCCGGGUAGCUAUGUUCGGAAAGGAUAAGCGUUGAAAGCAUCUAAACGCCAAGCCUCCUUCAAGAUAAGGUAUCCCAUGAGACCCCCUGAAGAUGACAGGGUUGAUAGGUUGGGUGUGUAAGCGCAGCAAUGUGUUUAGCUAACCAAUACUAAUCGGUCGAUUGGCUUGAUCACUUUUUUUU
rnacentral:rRNA from 1 species